CAAAUAGCAGCAAUUGACAGAACAAUCAACUGUGCUGUUCUUCUGCCUGACAAGAAUUCAUUGCAAAAUGCUUUAAUAUGAAGGUUAGUAAAUGACACAAAAGCUUAAAGCAAUUUAGAGGAAAUAAGAAAGGAUAGAAAUCAGCACCUAUGAAUGGUUGGAAAAUGAAAGUGGAGUGUGUGUGUGUGUGUGUGUGUGUGUGUGUGUGGCAGAGAUUGGAACAGGGUGCUAAAAUGUUACAAGAAAGCAGGAUUUUAAAAGAUCUUUUGCAGCAGCCUAGAAACUCACCCAGUGAGUAGAUUUCUGUGAGACAAGGAGAGAAAUGAGUUCAGUCAUGGGAUUCUAAAGAGGUACACCAGGAUAUUGGAUGCCCAAGGAUGAGGUUUCUCACCAGAACGCAAAGAUCAAGCAGUGAAAAUUCUGAAGAGGAGCUGUGAAAGAGCUUUCAUCCCAGGUGAAAAAAGAGAUGUUUGGCACAGUAGGUGGAGAAGGAGCUAUGAACAAGAAACACCACAUCCAGCACAGCUGUGGAAAAUUCCUGGGAACAGAACUGUGAAGAAGCGAAGGCAAAUGUGUGAAGGUGUGCACAGCUAUUUUGAAGAGAACAAGAGACAUUAUGGUAGCCAUUGUGGACUUUCCUAUUGUCUGGCUUUGAAGACCUGCAAUGCUUUCGUUUUUUUUUUUUUUUUUUUUUUUUUUUUGUUUGUUUUGACUGGUUUUAUUCUCUUUUGUUUUGUUUGAAUUCAUUGUGUCAAGAUAUGGACAACUACGUUGAAGAAAACAAGAGAAAUUAUGGUAGCCACCGUUAAUGCAAUGUGCUAGGUCGCUUGCAUUGUUCUGUUCUAAUCUGCUUUGUUCUGUUUUAUUUGUUGUUGUUGUUUUGUUUUGUUUUAUUAUCUUUAAAAUUAAACAAAAUGAAAGGCAAGAGUGAAUAUGCACAAAGCUGACAUCAGGUGGAGCCCUCUCUCUUGGUGUAGAAAAGAGCUGUUCAACAAUCUGCAAAGCAUUUAUUUACAAACUCAGCAGGUUGAGGUCAAGUGAAACACCACUGCCUAACAACUUCUGGCUCCCUUGAGUGCCUGGCUCCUUGGGGCUGGACUUGCUCUAGCCUUGCAAGUGUGACUGAUCUUCAGUUUCAGCUGCUCCCCACACAGAAAUAUAUUCCAUACAGAAAGGGGGUCAGGGUUUUUGCCGGAGUGAGGGAAGGCACUAGUAACAAUUUCCUAAGGAGAUUAGAGUCUAGGAAUGAGAGAUGACCAAGCACCAUGAAGUUUUUUUAAUAACUGGCCUGACAGAGAUAAAAUGCCUGCUGCAACUAAUCCUGACGGUGAUGUGGUGUCACAGUGGACACUGCAGGGGAAAGGGACUAGUGGUCUCUAGGAACGCAGAGGGCCAAGUUGGUUCCUGCAGAUGGAGGUGCAGCUUGGAGAGGUGGACUCCCGCACAGGAUGAUGGUCCUUCCUGACUGCAGACAGGGCCGCCUCAUGCUGAGAGUGCGGUCUCCUCACCUCUGAUCCCAGCCUUUCCAUCUCAGCUGGCAGCCUGAGAUCAGGCUCCCCUCUUGAGUUUUGAAAAGGAGACUGAGUUGUCAGCAGGCAGUUAUUUCUUAAUCAAACAAACCUUGGCAUCAUUUUGACUUUUUUCAUCUAAUUCAUUCUGUACUUUCCACUUCAUGUCCAAUCUGUUCCAUAAAUAUGUUUUGAGUCCCAUGCUAUGUAUAACAGCACUGCUGAGGUGACAUGACUGCAAAUAAUGAAAAGGCCUCACAUCAGUCUGGAUCCCCAACAUCACUGAAGAACAGAGGCAGACAUUCCACAGAGCACCUCAGUAACAGAGAAGUCCUGUUGUGUUAAGUAUUGAGAUUUGAAAACAGUUUAAGAAGUUCUAUAGAUACCUUCUAUUUUUCAGCUAAUUAAAAAUCAAAGAUAAAUGAAUACAAAUGAGAUGUGCUAUUGCACAACUUAAAAUAUGUGCCAUUGUCUUGGUGUUUCAAUAGCAAGGUAUACAAAAUAUUAUUGUAUACCAGGAAGACAUUGGUCCACAUUAUGCAGUGGUAAACACAGAAAUCUUCCUCAUAAAAACUUAGGGAGUAUAUUAGAAAAUAAUAUAAAUGAAAAUAAGGAGUUAAAAUUAGAAUAUUAUCAUAUUCACACAAAAAGAAUUUGUCAUUUUGCACAUAGAAUUGAAAAGAAAUAGAGUAUGUCCAAAACAUCUGCAGUUUUUCAGUGCUGUAUAAGGCAAUAUCUUCUUCACCCCAACUUGGUGUGAAUAAAAUAGAAAUCAUAAGCCUCUCAUCCUAAAACCUCUUACUGCCUGCAGCUAUCCCUGUGUAAACAUUCACCCAAAAAUGUGAUGCCCAAUAUUUCUGUUCAGUUAAAGGAUUGAAUUAGGGAGAAAAGAACAGAGUGUGGUUUUCCUCCCCAAACUUCAGAUGGAGGUCUGACAGGGAGAGAGUGGGAGGAUGAGAAUUCAAGAGAAACGAUUCUAGAAAAGAGCUGUGGGUGUAACCAGUGAUGCAGGGAAUGAGGUAAAAACCAAAACUGCCAAGUCUGUAAAGAGUUAUAUUGUCAAAAAAAGCUGAAGCUUCUCUAAAAAAAGUUAAUGGCCCUUAGUUUGUCAAACCACUCUUGAGCUUCUACGGCAGGAUUGGAAUGCUGGUAGAGCCAAUUCCACAAAGCUGGGAGGGGAUUCUCGGUAGUGUUCAUUCCGCCAAGUGUGACAUGAAGGAGUUACAGGUUUCUAGAUCAUGACCACAUCUGGGUUUCUGAGAUGGCUGACUAGGCUACGAGUCAGUCAGUGUGCCAGUAAUUAUUGGAUGAGAUUUGGGUUUUGGCAGAAGUGAGAGCAUUUUGCAUUCAGGAAGAAAACUGAACAGUGUUUGGUGACCACAAGCAUGGACAGUGGGAUUCUAACAGAUUACUUGGAUCAGUGACCUGGAGCUGCUUCUUACAGGCACAUGGUCAAGCAGUACAUUUUUACCAUAGAUAGCUAAGUUAUGUAGAAAUAUUAUAGGCAGUUAGACAGAGCUAAGUCCUAGGAUGAGUCAGUGAAGAGGAUGAAAGCAGUUUAGAACUGUGGCUGGGAGUGCAACUGCUGAGGCCAGAGCUCAAGAUAAAAAUACAAUGACCAGGUCUACAUGCCACCCGGAGGGAUAAGCAAUAAAUCAAAGAGUAUACUAUAAUUGGCAUUACCUGGACCCAUAAGUUCUACACAGACAUCAGACAUUCCAUGGGUGACCAAGACCUCCUGAUCUACCCCUUCCUAAAAAGGUCCUUUUUUUUUUCAUGUACACUUGCUAUAUGAUCUGCUUCCCCAUUGGAUCACUAUUACCUAAACAGCUAUACUUGUAAUUUUAUUGGUUGAUUAUACUUUUGAUCCAUGUUGUAUCCACCUUGUGAUUUUUGCUCUAUAAAAUUAACUCUGUGAAGUGAAAUCUUUCUGGUCCCCUCCUGUCUCUCAGGAGAUGGCUCUCUCAAUAAAUAUUUCCUACUCAA